CCCGCUUUUUUUUUUUUUUUCCCCUCUUCUCCAGCGCAACGGCCAUUUUCCUUGCCUCCCCUUCUCCACGAUAAUCCUCCUCUUCUUCUUCCUUGCUUGAGGAAACAUCAGUCGCCCUUCUCCUUCUCCUUCUCUCCCACCUGUCUUCUGUUCUUUUUUAAGGGUUUCUGAGAAAACAAAUUUGGCCUAAGAUUGGGUUGUGUUACUGAAGUGAAACGAUCAGGCAAAUGGCCUUAACCAACUUUAUACUCACAGUGGCGGGUGUUGGUGGUGUGAUUCUGCUGAUGAGGACUGAUAUCAAGCAAUCGGCUACCAUCUUCAGACGCAAUGUUCGACAGAUUCGCCAUUGGCUCGAGGAAGAGUCUGCUUCUGCUGCAAAGGAAAUGGAGAAGGCAAAACCAAAGGAGAUACCUGGAAAGGAUAUACCCAAGGAGGAAAAGCACUAGCUUGGUCCUUGAAACCUGGGUUUAUUUAAGAAACUGUACAUUUUAGCAAUUUUGCUUUAGCUUUUGGUCCAUCUUUGUAUAAAUCUUUUGAGUUUGGAGAGCGAGUUUAUGCUCUAGUUUGGAUAAUUGUGUCAUUGGAAGGAAAAAGAAGUGAAAGUUUCCUAGUUUAACAUUUAAAACGUGGAAGAGUAAAUUGCAUACUACCAGUUCAUAUC